GAUGAACGCUGGCGGCGUGCCUAAUACAUGCAAGUCGAGCGAACGGACGAGAAGCUUGCUUUUCUGAUGUUAGCGGCGGACGGGUGAGUAACACGUGGAUAACCUACCUAUAAGACUGGGAUAACUUCGGGAAACCGGAGCUAGUACCGUAUAAUAUUUUGAACCGCAUGGUUCAAAAGUGAAAGACGGUCUUGCUGUCACUUAUAGAUGGAUCCGCGCUGCAUUAGCUAGUUGGUAAGGUAACGGCUUACCAAGGCAACGAUGCAUAGCCGACGUGAGAGGGGGAUCGGCCACCUUGGAGCUGAAACACGGUCAAGACUACUACGGGAGGCCGCAGUAGGGAAUCUUCCGCAAUGGGCGAGAGCCUGACGGAGCAACGCCGCGUGAGUGAUGACAGUCUUCGGAUCGUAAAACUCUGUUAUGAGGGAAGAACAUCUGUGGAAGUAACUGUGCAGAUCUUGACGGUACCUAAUCAGAAAGCCCCGGCUAACUACGUG
rnacentral:rRNA from 1 species